UACGAAGGGGGCUAGCGUUGUUCGGAAUUACUGGGCGUAAAGCGCGCGUAGGCGGUGUUCUUUGUCAGAGGUGAAAUCCCGGGGCUCAACCUCGGAAUUGCCUUUGAAACGGGGACGCUUGAGUCCGAGAGAGGAUGGCGGAAUUCCUAGUGUAGAGGUGAAAUUCGUAGAUAUUAGGAAGAACACCGGUGGCGAAGGCGGCCAUCUGGCUCGGUACUGACGCUCAGGCGCGAAAGCGUGGGGAUCAAACAGG
rnacentral:rRNA from 1 species